rnacentral:piRNA from 4 species
UGGUGGUUCAGUGGUAGAAUUCUCGCCUGC